AAAUUAUUGCAUCGACACGCGGGUCCUACAGCAAGAAGAAACCUCUUUUGCUUCAGCCAAAAGAUGGAGCCGCCACCAAAAAAUUAUUGGUAGGCAAUAUUACACCAUGAGGAAAAGAGGACGAGUUCGAAUUCCAAAAAUACACUUGUUGAGCAGGGGAUUAUAUAUCCCCGGUACUUGCUCUCGCAAGUACCUCUCAUAAUUUUAAACUUCACCGGUAAAAAGAAGUGUUCGCCAACCCGGUAACAGUUGGGUAAACUACGCUAUUGAUGAGUGAAUUGUGCUUAUAGUGCAGGGCUUCAAGUCCACUAGAAUCACACUCUAGGCAAGGUAAGCUGACAGCCGGGUAGAAAUCAGUCUCAAACCAAACAGAUUGGAAACACCCCGCGGAAGGGGAAAAAGACGAGGCCGUUGAUAUAUCAAAAAGUAUCAUCGUGAGAGUGGGUUGGGCCUGGGAACUGGCUCGCAAGGGAAAGGCCAUAGACGAGGGACCAACCAGUCAGUUUGUUUCUUUUGAGCCAAGAAAGGCCGAUGAUUUGUGGACUAUAACCGUUGAUGUUUGUGCUGGACAACAUUUUAUCGGAUUUAAAGGACCGCAGUACAGAUAGGAUGUGAGGUGCAUGGGAGACCUCAGGUGGGAAUCGGAACCGGAACCUGAGUGAGGCCGCCACCAGUUCUUUUACAUGUUGGCCAGACACUACAUAAGUUAUCAGUUCCGGCAAACAAAGCCAUAGAUGUCAAAACCUUCCGGAGGAACUGAACUCUGAAGACAGGGAGAUGAAAUUUGACACUGCAGUUCUCUGGCUCCCUUGAAGCUAUCUCCAGGCCAUUUGUGCACUGGGGCGGAAUGAAAUUGGAUUGGAGGCCCUUCUGCCCGAGAGAUAGGCACCUCUGCUGUCCAAUUACUAGAUUAUAGGCAAUCUGUCAGUCGCUAUCAGUUUCCGGGGGAUACUUUCUGUUAUUGUGACAAAGAUAUGAAGAGUCGUAUACAUGCGUUCUGGAAUCAGUGCCAUGCAUCUCCUCUGUCUCAAGGUCAUUUAAAAUGGAAUAUUCCGAAUAGAGGAUGCAUAGCUGCAGUUCGGGAUGGAACAUAACAUGUAUAGUGCUGCGGACAUAAUUUUGAAGACUUAAUUACUAUGAUUGUAUCAAAAAGUUCGGACCAGCAAAGGUCAGAACUACAGAAUUUCGAUCCAUAGGGAAAUCCAUUUAGCAUGGAUGUCCAAAGAGGCUCGAAGAAAAAGGUAUAUAUCUUUAAUGUAUAUAUCUUUGACUUUUGCAUACAUACAGUCCAGAUUUUGUAUUGCACAUAAAACUUGGGUUAUUGCCA